rnacentral:lncRNA from 1 species
UACCUCUGCACAGCACUGCACUGGGUGCUGAAUACUAAUAAAAAGGGCCUCUGCAAUGAAGAUUCAGUAUUUGUUAGUUAAGAAAACUGGGACAUGCUCCAUUUAUGUCCUACUGAUUUCAUCGGGAGGGUUAAGUAUGCAUUUAACUUCCUCCAAUUGAAAUUAAUGCAAAUUAAAUACUUUAUUUUUUGCUGGAUUGUUUCCAUUUUUUUAAAAAAAUUGUUAUAGUACUGCACUUCAAGUGUAAUUGUACCCUCUUUGUUACAUAAGUUGGCCUUUGCGUUGAAGUCCUAGCUAUUGACAUAGUUGGUACAAUGCUGAUGAGGCUGAAAAUCUGUGACUUAGAUGUACCCCACUUUAGCACAUGAGCAAGUUUCCAUACAAAGCCAGCCCAGCAGUAACAGAUGGUCAGCUCUGCUCACCUGGGGGGCCAUUUUGCUGAGACGUUGAUGGAGGGCAGCGACCUGCCUCUCCACCGUGGACUUUCAGAAAGUCCAAUGGCCACAGCUAUACCACCUCCAAAGAAAUGGUUCCGAAAAUGAAAGCAGGAAAAGAAGCAUGGCGGAAGCGAAGAAACAUCAGAGAAAAUGGCUGUCUAAAGCAGCACGGACGGAACAAUUUGAAAGGCUAUAUUUUCUUUUAUGAGUUCUCUGCAGUCCCACACAUGGGGAUGCGCCUACACAAAUAGGAUUUUCCAUGCCCUGGAAGAUUUGUUUCUCUUCUGUAUUCCAAGAGACCUUCAAGGAAGGUAACAAUGUAAUAAAUUUAGCUUUCAGUUGUUAAAAACAGCACAAUAUAACAUCCAGAAUUUCAAAACAUCAAGAAACACAUAGAAACAUAGAGUAGCAUAAAAGAGGCACAAUAUGGCCCUGGCCAAACGGUGGCUUGUAAAUUGGAAUGAGUGGAACAAAUUUUCCUGCAAAGUAUUUGGCAAACUCAUCCUGAAAGGCUCCAUUGCAAUACCUCUUUGACCACCUAGAAAAGCUAUGUUGGGUGAUUCUGAGCAGAUACAGUGGUGACACAAAAGCCAUCUUCACCAUUAUCACUGUCUCACAGAUUAAGUUAUAAAAUGUGUCCUGGCCUCUGUUUUAUUCAAUCCAUUGUAAGUCUUCUGCUAUAACUCCUACUGUUUCAUCACCACCAGUUCCAUGGACUGCCGUAGAGCUAGCUUACCUCUACAUAAGAACAGGCUGCUGGAUUGCAUGUUACAUGGGGGGGUUUUGUGGGUGGGUGGGUGUAAACAGUGAGGUCAGAAGGAAAUGUAAUGCAGAUAAUUACAUAUUUAACAGUGACCUAUCACAAAACUGUUGGUUUGAUAAAAUGGAGUAGACAGAGUCAGCUUCUUGGUCUUUAAUAGGGAGCUGGCCCCUGUGUCCAUACCUCUUGUAUGGCCUACUGUUGCUGCUGAGUAGCUGUCCUAUUUAGGGGGAUGUCUGAGAGCAAUUGGAGGUCUGCCACCCAAGGCUUAUGUGUAGGACAUGUCUGUCCUAGAUGAACUGUAGAUUAUUGAUGAUAGGCUCAAGUGGCUUUGGCUUGGCUGCUGUGACAUCAAGUGGUAGUUUGUCAUUUUCUCUUCUAGAUCUGUUGUAUAGAAGAUUGGUACCUAAGAACAGUUUGGCUUCGUUGAUCUGAUUUUUCACUUUGGGUGUUUGAUGUGAAUUAUUUUAGCUGUGAGGCUCUGUCCAAUCCUAUGAAUCUGAAUGGAUGUUGUUGUAUCAUAGAGCUCAGCUGUAAACAAUGAACUCUUUAGUGUGCUCUGGGUGGAAGCUGGAAGCAUGUAUGUAUGAGUAACAGUCAGUACGUUUCCUAUAUAAGGAUGUGCUUAUAUGUCCAUUAAUAGUUGCACAUUCAUGUCCAGAAAGUGAACCUCUUGCACAGUGUGUUCAAGACUCAGGUUGAUGGUGAGGUGAUGUCCUAGUGGAACUGCACAAGUGAUCCCUUACCAUAAGUCCAGAUAAUAAAGCAUGCCGAAAUCUCAAAUGGACUCUCAUAUUCCCUGGCUGACUUUGACAGCUAUACCUGCAAAAAUUACUGUGGCAAAGUCCUCCCUAAAGAUGAUAUUUGAGGCAAAAGCAUCCUCAUGGACUCCACCAGCUGUGAUUUUCUCCAGGAGCAGCUUCCUUAUCCCCCUAUUUAGUCUGAUGGAGCAGUAUAGUUCCAUUAGAUUGACUGUGGGGUUUAGGGUUGUUUCCCUGUAACAGGUGUGUGUUCAGCAACACAUCCUGGCUUCUGUCCCUACAGUAGGAGAUUGUCUAGAAGGCCAUGAUCUAGGUUUUGGUUGUGCUCUCUGCCACAGUCAGAGAAGUGAACUAAGUGGGAAGGUGCUGUCUCUGCCCUCUCAUCAUGUAAAACUUGCUACUGCACUUAACUGGCAGGAUCCUGUGCUCCUAAUCUUCCAGAGAUAGGGUAGCCAAUGUGGUGCCCUUCAGAUAUUGUGGACAACAACUUCUACCACCCCUGUCCAUUGGCUAUGUUGGCUGGAUAGGAUGGAAAUUGCAGUCCACAACAUCUGGAGGGUAGCUCUCUUUGGCUGUCUUUUUUCCAGAGCUUUCUAGAAAGUCUCACCAGUAGUCUAUGCAGGUGCAUUCUCCUAUAUUCCAGCAUACCCACUUUUCAUUGUUCACACUAAAGCAAAGAAAGACUAAUUUGUCAAAUUACAUAACAUAUAUUUUUUGAUUAAAAUCACUUCAGCUGAUUUUAGGGUCUCUCUAAAAGGGUUCUUGGCAUUGGUAUGAUCAGUAAUAACUCUGGUAGCUUUUCAAUCUAAGACUGAUAAUCAAACUUCAAGAUUCAGGGCAUAAAUUCAUUGCCUUUGGGGAUCAGGAAAGAAUUUCUUUUACUUUUCCCAUGUAACUGCAUUGUAAAAUUUAGCUAAGUUCAUUGCAGAGACUUUUCACAAGCCACUGCAGGACCUGUAGCUGGACUAAUAUCCUGAUCCACAAGAGUAAUUUGAUGUAAUUUCUUUUACUAGAGAUGGCAAUAUAUUUCUCAGGACUAGAUGUAUAUGAGGGGAUGAUUUCUUUUCUAAACUGAAUUUUUAGUGCAAUAUUUUAUCAUGGAGGACUUUUUAUAGCAAUUAAAUUUUACAUUAAUUAACUAGAGCUCUAUGGCUCAAGUGUAAUUUAUUUAGUGGAAAAGAAGGAUAAGGGAAACUUAAAAUCUUUACUAUUGGGAGUUUGCCCAUAAAAUACACAUUUAAUCUGAAGAAUGAAGCAGGCUGACUGUUACAUUUCUGCUCCUAACAGUGACACUAUGUGGAUGAAGUCAAGAAUGCACAUAGAGGAUACAUUUAUGAGGAAACUUGUUUCUAAAGAUAGCUGCAAUGGAAAACAACCAUUUAUCGUCUUAGUCAAACAGACAUAACCUCCAUCAGAUGAAGUUUUAAAUAAUGUGACUCAAUCUGGAUAGUUAAAACAUAUCUUUUUUAUAUAAAAAAAAUAAGCAUAUGUCUCACAUACAUAUUUCUCACAGGAUAAUAAAGUGUUUUAUUCAUAACAUUUUAAAUUCCCUUGGUAUUAAGUAAAGCUUUCAUACUGAAGGAGCAAAUAAAUGAUUGACGCUGAUGUGUGCAAUGUAAUGCAUACACACAUAACAUGAAGAGAACGUGUGCAUUUCUGAGAGCCUGAGUCAUUGAGAAUCCAAGAGCAUUUUAACAGUACUCUUUAUUUUUCAAGGAAGUGAGUCCUUGCAUGUUCACAUGCAAAUCUUAAAGCUGCUAUGCAGAUGUAACCAGUGGAACCUGCAAAAAAUGUUGAGAUGUAUCUUCCUUCCUAACAGGAGUGCUUCUGUUCAGGGUUCUAGCUAACUAGUCUCUUCAGUUAGGACAUUCCACUCCUCCCCUAUUCUGAUACGCUCAAUCCUCAUUGAGCUGGAGGGUGCUUUUUUGUGUGAGGAUUGCUUGUCUUAAGUUGUCUUUUUUAAAGACUUCUUGUGCUUCUGCAAACUUUCAGGGCUUUCCCACAACAUGCUGAGAUUUCUCUUGUGUUUCUCAGUGGCCUCAUGUUGGCCGUGAUCCUGAUAGCACUCAUCGCCUCAACUUCCUGUUAAAAAUGAAAGAUAUACUACAUUUGCUAGAAAACAUAUUUGGACUAAAAAUGGACUUUGUUGCAAGGCUCAAAGGUGCUUUCAUAGUUGUGUGGGAAAUGAAGUGUCUCCUAUUAUGUUUUUAGAAAUGGAUCGUUCAGGAGUACUGUACUAAAAAUGACUUGAAAGCACAGCAUGGUAAGACAGUCUCCAUAAACACUGAUUCCUUGCCCUGGAUCUAAGGAGAUGUUCAAAACUUUGUUGAGAGUUAGCCGGAUAAACCUUUGCUGGAUGGCAAGAAUGUAAUACAAGGAAAGUUGUUCUAUUUGCAGUAGUGCAGAAAAAAGAAAAAAAAUGAUAAUUGAAGAAAAAAAUCUGAUGAUGUGGUUCUCUUAGUAAAUUGGGAACAAUGACCCAUGAAGGACUAUAAAGAAAGUGAAUGUCAAGAUAAUUUAUUAUUGUUACAUUAUCUAUCCUUCCCCUCCCCCCCUUUUUUUUUUACUUUAUCUUACUGAGUUGCUGUUAUCCUUCCAUGGAACCAAAUAUCCUAAACAUUAAUGAGUUCUUGCUUAAAUCUUCACUGCCAAUAAAAUUGCUUUU